rnacentral:sRNA from 3 species
UCGCAUGAGGGAUAGUAGUGGAAUCCUUUUUAUUUUUAAAGAAAAAUAAAAAGAUUGAAACGGAUAGCCCAACCCGCC